rnacentral:lncRNA from 1 species
AGUGUUCCAGAGCGGAUCAGCUCACCCCAAGGCAUAACCAUCCCGUAAUGCAAUGGACUUCUUGUGAUUUUCAGUCUUGCAGGUUCAGUGUGAUCUAAAGGUUUUAAAUCAAAAUCUGCUCUUGGUGUGGUUGUCUUCCAGGAAAUGCUGCAGGAUUUUUUUUUCUCCUCAGCACCAAAGGAAUUUCUUUGUCUCUUCUUAUAACCCACCUGCCCCCACCCCUUUUCUCUUCUUGUCCACUUGCUCCCCUUUCUUGCUUCCUGACUCUUGUGAGCACUUUUUUCUCCUUUUUCUGUACAGGAGAAAUGGACCAAGUCAGGGAGAGCUGGAGGGAAGGAGGGGCCAGGAAUAACAGCUCCUAUCUACUGGGUACUUUGAGCUGAGAGGCACUGCGGGGCCCUGUCACUAAAAUUUGUUGAGCAGAAGUGACAGCCAUCCCUGUGUUCAACAGGGAACUUGGACUCCUUUGAGGGUAAUGCAAUGGAGAGUGAACUGGUUCAAGCUUGGCCAAGAGUGACCUUGGGUCAGCCUGGGAUACCCAGCUGAUCACACCUGGAUAGUGGAUGCAAGGCUGACCUGAACAGUAGGAAAGGAAUGUCUAUUCCUUAAGAAUCACCCUGCGCCUAUAGCUUGCGUGUGCUUAGUCACUCAGUCGAGUCCGACUGUUUGUGAUCCCAUGAACACUGGCCCGCCAGGCUCCUUUCUCCAUGGGAUUCUCCAGACAAGAGUACUGGAGUGGGUUGCCAUUUCCUUCUUGGUGAGAUGUUUCCGCUUAUGUGAUCUCAGUCUUCACAGUAUGUUCAAAGUGGGUAAUACUUCUUCCAUUUUACUCUUGAGAAAUUGGAAACUAAGGUAAAAUAAGUUGCCAAUUUCUAAGCUAUGGCUAAAUUUUUUUAAAAAAGUAAACUCUAUGCCCUUUUUUUAAAAAAAAAAAUUAUUUUUACUGCUUUGGAUCUUUGUUGCCUUCUCCAGUUGCAGUGAGUGGGGGCACGCUCUUUGUUGCAGAGUGUGGACUUGACUCAGUCAUUGCAGUGCACAGGCUUAGUUGCCCUGAGGCAUGUGGAACGUUCCCGGGCCAGGGAUUGAACCCGUGUACCCUGCAUUGGUGGGUGGAUUCUUAACCACUGGACCCCAGGGAAGUUCCUGUGAACACACUUGAACUGACGACACUGGUGCCUCUAAACCAUCGUGACUGGUCCUCAUUCUGGGUGAGUGAAUUCUCUGAGAAGUUGGUACUUUUUGCUGGUUUGGGGAAUUUCUGCUAUGGCGAGGUAGAGCCUGUUUAUACCAAAACCAUUCCCAGGCGUUAGCUCCUGAUCCCGUUGUUUCGUAUCAUCUAUUUUUAUCCCGAAGUAGGUCCCAUAGACAGAAAAUUAAGAUGCAUAAGUACUUCUUGUGGUUUGGGGUAAUGGUUCCAAUGGAGGCGUUCUAGUGAUGGGCAUGGAUGGAAUGGUAUGUGUAACCUUAGCGCUUUCUUAUAUUCUGCUCAGAUGUUUGCCAUCUUUUAUAAAAGUAAAGAACUGGGAACUUUCCAGGAAGGUGGUGACUGCUCUCCAUCUCCAGCUUGAGCUCUUCUUCCCUUUGUGAUGGGGCAGGUCUUCAGCUCUGUGUGAGUGAGGCCUCAGCUGGGGCCUGCGGAGUCUUCACAGCCCACUUAUGACCUGGGGGAGCAUCUCAGAACAAAUUGUUAAUCAUCAGGAAGGAACACUCGUAUUGGGACUCUUGUGAGUAGAUGUGUAGCCAUCUUCUGAAAAAAAAAUCAAGAAAAUGCUGCGUGAAAGCUUGUAGAAAUGGGAUUUAGUAGCUUGGAUGAAAAUCCCAGAUAACAAUGGCACACUCUUUCAAGAACUUUCUGGAUGGUAGAGAAAAUAACAUCAGGUGGGAAAAUCUGGACAUUGACAAUUUUGAGUUCAUAGGUAGUUUAGGGUAUAUGAACUCUGCAUGAAAAGAGAGGUUANNNNNNNNNNNNNNNNNNNNNNNNNNNNNNNNNNNNNNNNNNNNNNNNNNNNNNNNNNNNNNNNNNNNNNNNNNNNNNNNNNNNNNNNNNNNNNNNNNNNNNNAAUGUAGAACACAAGGAACUAUAUUCAAUAUAGUUUAUGGUGAUAAACCAUAAUGGAAAAGAAUACUAAAAAAUGUGUAUAUACAUAUAACCCGGGUCUCCUGCAUUGCAGGCAGAUUCUUUACCAUCUGAGCCAGUGGAACCCAGCAAUAAAAAAACAAUUAUGAUCAAGUAGGGUUUAGCUAAAGAGAGUAAAGAUAAUGAAAUAUGAAGGAAAUGAAUCAGUGUAAUUCAUUACAUCAAUGAAGGUCAUAUUAAUUAAUGUUGAAAAGCCUUUCAGUGAAAUUCAGCAUCCUUUCUAGACAAAAAUGAUGUGUAACUGGCUUAGAAUAUCUCACAAAUUCUGAGGUUGGCUAGUCCUGACCCAUUCCCAGGCUCCUUUGUUGGGUCUGGUUCCAUUAUUCAGGCUGGAUUAGUUAAAUAACUAUGUUCUUGCAGUUAGAAGUUGCCAUAUGACUUCAUGAUACCUGAAGUCAGAUGAGAGUUUUCUGAUAAAGCUUUUGCUAAUCUGAAAUAAAGGGGUUUGUACAAUUGGUGUUGUCCCUUCCCUGUUGUUUCAGCCUUGAACAUGUCUGUGAUGUCUGCAGCUGGGGCAGCCAUUCUGCAACCAUGAGGCAGCAAGCAUGCAGGAUAGGCCAGACUAGCUGCAAAUAUUUCAUUCCCAACUUUGCUGAGCUGCUAAAUGAACACCCAUCGCUGUCUGCCCCUACAUAUCAUUACUGUAUCUACGUCUCCUGACUUGGAGGAUGAAAUAAAUUGCCAUAGGAAUCAUCCCCAGUGAAUUAACCCUUCCUGUGUCUCCAGUCAUGUGUGAUCCCUCUCACUUUGACACUGGACCUGUCAUGUGACUCACUUUGACCAAUGGGACAAACGAUGCAAGCAGAUGCUUACAUCUGUGCAUUGGGCUUACCCUCUUGGAAUGCUGCCGCCAUGUGAAGAAAUCUGUGGGACUCUGUUGCUGAGCUGAUAACCAGCACCAGAUGCCAACAAGUGAGUGAGACCACUUGGCCUGUUCAGCUGCUUACUGACUGUAUUCCUAUGAGGGACUGCAGGUGAGACCAGCAGCAGAACUAUCCAGCUGAGCCUUGCUCAAGUAGCUGACCUGUGGAAUCACGGGGAAAUGAAUGGUUGCUAUCUUGAGGCAGAGGUGAGCAAACCUUUUCUUAAAGGGCCAGAUGGAACAUAGUUUAGGCUUGUGAUCUCUGUCAUAGCUACUCAUUUCUCAUGUUGCAAGACAUGAGCAACUGUGGACAGUACAGAAAUGAAUGGAUGUGGCUGUGCUCCGAUAUGUUUAUUUACAAAGGCAGGUGACUGGCUCACAGCUGGAGUUCGGCAGGCCCAUGCUGAAUUAUUCAGCUGUAGAGCAAUCUUCCCUGGUGGCUCAGAGGUUAAAGCCUCUGCCUGCAAUGCAGGAGACC